rnacentral:rRNA from 1 species
UCGUAACAGGUUUCCGUAGGUGAACCUGCGG